rnacentral:RNase_P_RNA from 1 species
CCAGACGGCCGGACGACCGCGGGGUGCUUCGCGCACCGCGAGGAAAGUCCGGGCUCCACGGAGAUAAGGGUGCCGGGUAACGCCCGGCGGGCGCGAGCCCAGGGACAGUGCAACAGAGAAAGACCGCCAAAGCCUUGUCUGCUUUCGGGUAGGCCGGGCCGGUAAGGGUGAAACGGUGGUGUAAGAGACCACCGCGGACGCGGCAACGCGGACGGCAUGGCAAACCCCACCCGGAGCAAGACCAAAUAGGGGCGGCACGCGAAGGGCAACCUUCGCAGGUCGGUUUCCGGACCGCCGCCCGGGUCGGUUGCUUGAGGCCGCCAGCAAUGGCGGUCCUAGAGGAAUGGUCGUCGUCGCCCGGCAACGGGCGUCACAGAACCCGGCUUACAGGCCGUCUGGCUUU